rnacentral:rRNA from 1 species
UUAGAUACCCUAUUAUACUAAUAGAAACCUGAAUUAUUAAUAGAUAUAAUCUUUAAACUUGAAGAAUUUGGCGGUGGUUUAAUCUUGUUAGAGGAACCUGUUUUUGAAUCGAUAAACCACGCAAAAUCUUACUUUUUUUACUUAGUUUGUAUACCGUCAUUAACAGAUAAUCUUAAUAAAAGAGGUAAUUGUUAAAAUUUAUAAUAAUAUAAAUAAACUUAGAUCAAGGUGCAGCUAAUAGAAAAGUUAAAAUGGGUUACAAUAAAAUUUAUUUAGAUGGAGUAGCAGAUAAAAUAUUGCUAUAAAGGAGGAUUUAAUUGUAAUAUAAGUUUAAUAAGCUUUAAAGAUAUAAGCUCUAAAUCAUGUACAUAUCGCCCG